rnacentral:rRNA from 1 species
CAGCAGUGGGGAAUAUUGCACAAUGGGCGCAAGCCUGAUGCAGCCAUGCCGCGUGUAUGAAGAAGGCCUUACGGGUUGUAAAGUACUUUCAGCAGUGAGGAAGGUGGAUAUGUUAAUAGCAUAUUCAUUUGACGUUAGCUGCAGAAGAAGCACCGGCUAACUCCGUGCCAGCAGCCGCGGUAAUACGGAGGGUGCGAGCGUUAAUCGGAAUUACUGGGCGUAAAGCGCAUGCAGGUGGUUUGUUAAGUCAGAUGUGAAAGCCCCGGGGCUCAACCUCGGAAUUGCAUUUGAAACUGGCAAACUAGAGUACUGUAGAGGGGGUAGAAUUUCAGGUGUAGCGGUGAAAUGCGUAGAGAUCUGAAGGAAUACCGGUGGCGAAGGCGGCCCCCUGGACAGAUACUGACACUCAGAUGCGAAAGCGUGGGGAGCAAACAGGAUUAGAUACCCUGGUAG